UACGUAGGUGACAAGCGUUGUCCGGAAUUACUGGGCGUAAAGAGCUCGUAGGUGGUUUGUCGCGUUGUCCGUGAAAACUCACAACUCAAUUGUGGGCGUGCGGGCGAUACGGGCAGACUGGAGUACUGCAGGGGAGACUGGAAUUCCUGGUGUAGCGGUGGAAUGCGCAGAUAUCAGGAGGAACACCGGUGGCGAAGGCGGGUCUCUGGGCAGUAACUGACGCUGAGGAGCGAAAGCGUGGGGAGCGAACAGG
rnacentral:rRNA from 1 species